CGGACCACUUCGGUGGUUAGUGGCGCACGGCGUGAGUAACACGUGGUUGACCUACCCCAAAGUAAGGGAUAACGGUCCGAAAGGACUGCUAAUACCUUAUAAGCUCCCGGUGUUUAGAAAACUGGGAGAAAAGUUCCGGCGCUUUGGGCGGGGACUGCGGACCAUCAGCUAGUUGGUGUGGUAACGGCACACCAAGGCGACGACGGAUAGGGGACCUGAGAGGGUGGCCCCCCACACUGGAACUGAGACACGGUCCAGACUCCUACGGGAGGCAGCAGUGAGGAAUAUUGCACAAUGGGCGCAAGCCUGAUGCAGCGACGCCGCGUGGGUGAUGAAGGUUUUCGGAUCGUAAAGCCCUUUUCUAGAUGACGAGUAAGGACGGUAGUCUAGGAAUAAGUGUCGGCUAACUACGUGCCAGCAGCCGCGGUAAAACGUAGGACACAAGCGUUAUCCGGAGUUACUGGGCGUAAAGGGCGUGUAGGCGGACCUGUAAGUCUAUUCUGAAGCUCCUGGCUAACUGGGAGAGGCGAAUGGAGACUGCAGAUCUAGAGUGAGGAAAAGGAAGUGGANUCCGCGUGUANUGGUGAAAUGCGUAAAGAUGCG
rnacentral:rRNA from 1 species